UUUUUUAAUGAGGCCGACUUGAGCUGAAAAAUCAGUGAAAGGAGGGGAAGGAAGUGGGGAGAAGGGGAAGGAAGAAAAGACUGCAGUAUGACAUGCUGGUGGCAGGAAGCUUGAAUUUCAGCAUCUCCCCUUAUUAAUCACUAACUAAUUUCCAUAGUGAGAAUAAGCUCAACCUAUUGCCAGUCAUGAUGAAACGACAGUUUACACCAUCCAAGGUCAAGAAACAGAUGUUUACAUGAAACCAGAAUAGGCUGUCAACACUGUGGGUGAGAAGACAUUCCCCACAUUCUCUACUCAUCCCUUUUGAACUCAGUUGCCUUAAAAGUUGAAAUACUGUGUCACAUGUGUAUAGAUGUUCCUAUAGUCUUUCUCUAGCUGUUUUCUACACUUGAAUAUGCGUUACUUAUAGAGCUGUAUUAUAUAUUUUCACUAGGACUCUGAAUGGGCAGAGUUAAGAAAUUUUUAAAAGGUAAUUUUUGACUGUGAGAGUUCUUGCAUCUUACGUAUAAGAAAAGUGAGGCCCAAGGAGAUUUUAAACGAAAGAUAAGAAAGAGACUAGUUAAUAUGUAUUCUUGGAACAUCUAUUUGUGGAGUCAGCCAACCCUUUCAAGACUGGAAAAUGGGUGUAAGAGAACCCUUGCCCUUGAAGAACUUGCACAGCUGUAGUAGAGACAAGAUCCACGGAAAACCCAAACCAAAUUGAAUAGAAAAGAUGCAACCAGAUUAUACAAAGGUAUUCUUGCCAGGUUGUGAACUGAGAGUUUGAGUGCUUCUGUUUUUAUAAGGGCAAAUUUCAAUGUAUAUUCUUACCACACUUGGAUCAUACUAAUGGAGUUGUG
rnacentral:lncRNA from 1 species